rnacentral:sRNA from 1 species
AGUCUGCAGAGGGGCCCGGGCACGCUGGCUGGGCUCAGCCGCGGCACCAGCUGCCGCACCGCGAUUACGGGGCUGCCCGCCGGGAAACCGUGCAGGAUUGGUGGUGAUUUUCAUAGCCAAGAGCCACCACCCCUGACCAUGUAGAUGCCAGUUCCAGGGAGCAGCAUGGGCCCCACUGAAUGGAGACUCCUGGGUCUACAGCCCUGAGCCCCUCCGGCCCCUGGACCUUGUCCCACACUGGAGGACACCCCUUGGAGCUCACUACCACUGUCACCAGCCCGCCUCGGCCACCCCCACCCCCCGGGACCCGGAGUCGGCCGCCCGGUGCCACAGCUGACCAGUGAGGGUGUGCUGAGGACAGCCACAAGCAGCCAUCACCCGGCAGCCUCUUGUCCAGCGCUGACCCUUGGGCCCAGCCCGAGCAAGGACCGCAGCAAACAUGGGUGACAUGACCAACAGCGACUUUUACUCCAAAAACCAAAGAAAUGAGUCGAGCCAUGGGGGCGAGUUCGGGUGCACAAUGGAGGAGCUCCGCUCCCUCAUGGAGCUGCGGGGCACUGAGGCUGUGGUCAAGAUCAAGGAGACUUAUGGGGACACCGAAGCCAUCUGCCGGCGCCUCAAAACCUCACCUGUUGAAGGUUUGCCGGGCACCGCUCCAGACCUGGAAAAGAGAAAGCAAAUUUUUGGGCAAAACUUUAUACCUCCAAAGAAGCCAAAAACCUUCCUGCAGCUCGUGUGGGAGGCGCUGCAGGACGUGACGCUCAUCAUCCUGGAGAUCGCCGCCAUCAUCUCCCUGGGGCUGUCCUUCUACCACCCGCCCGGCGAGGGCAACGAAGGAUGCGCGACGGCCCAGGGUGGGGCAGAGGAUGAAGGAGAGGCAGAGGCAGGUUGGAUCGAGGGGGCCGCCAUUCUCCUCUCAGUUAUCUGUGUGGUCCUGGUCACGGCCUUCAAUGACUGGAGCAAAGAGAAACAGUUCCGGGGCCUGCAGAGCCGCAUCGAGCAGGAACAGAAAUUUACCGUGGUCCGGGCUGGCCAGGUGGUCCAGAUCCCUGUGGCUGAGAUCGUGGUUGGGGACAUAGCCCAGGUCAAAUAUGGUGACCUCCUCCCUGCCGACGGCCUCUUCAUCCAGGGCAAUGACCUCAAGAUUGAUGAAAGCUCCCUAACUGGAGAGUCUGACCAGGUGCGCAAGUCCGUGGACAAGGACCCCAUGCUGCUGUCAGGAACCCACGUGAUGGAGGGCUCAGGACGGAUGUUGGUGACUGCUGUGGGUGUGAACUCUCAGACUGGCAUCAUCUUUACCCUCCUGGGGGCUGGUGGUGAAGAGGAAGAGAAGAAAGACAAAAAAGGUAAGCCUAAUCCCCUUGCAGACCAGGAGAGGAGCUCUUAAGGCCACAUUUUUUUUUUUGUUUAUUUGUUCACUCAACAAAAUAGUUAUUGAGUGCCUUCUAUGUCCGCACCCUGUGCUGACAGCCACCUCCUGCAUCCUUAAGGCCUGCAUGGGCCAGGUAGGCUCUGUCUGUUCCAUCUCCAGGUCUUGUCCCAGUCUCUGUCUUGUCCAAUCAUGUCAUGGAGGCCCCUCCUUCCCCUCCGGGCCAGGCCAAGGAUGCUGACCAUGUUGUUGAGUCUUCAGCCUCAAGUGGUGGAAACAGCCAGCAUCAAUUGGUCCCAUCAUCACUCCAGUAUUGAGUAGAAAUCCCCACCCAUUGGAAGCAUAUUCCUUCCAAUAUUGUCAACUCCACU